rnacentral:tRNA from 1 species
GGUCUCGUAACUCAAUUGGAUAGAGUAUCGGUUUUCUAAACCGUAGGUUAUAGGUUCGAAUCCUGUCGAGGUCACAA